AUCGCUUCUCGCCUUUUGGCUAUGAUCAAGUGUAGUAUCUGUUCUUAUCAGUCUAUAAACCUCGACUCCCAAAGAUAUAUAAAAAGAAGUAGAAUCUGAGCUCCUAUGGGUUAUCACAUAAGAUAAAAAUAUGUUUGUGUUCAAGAAACACUA
rnacentral:snRNA from 1 species